rnacentral:rRNA from 1 species
GACGAACGCUGGCGGCGUGCUUCAUACAUGCAAGUCGAACGAGAAUCUCUAGCUUGCUAGAGAGGACAGUGGCGGACGGGUGAGUAAUGUGUAGAGAAUCUGCCCUUGAGAGGGGGACAACAGAGGGAAACUUCUGCUAAUACCCCAUAUGAGGUAAGCUGAAAUGCUUAUCUUGAAAACUCCGGUGCUCAAGGAUGAGUCUGCAUCUGAUUAGCUAGUUGGGGUGUAAUGGACCACCAAGGCGACGAUCAGUAGCUGGUUUGAGAGGAUGAUCAGCCACAAUGGGACUGAGACACGGCCCAU